AUUGAACGCUGGCGGCAGGCCUAACACAUGCAAGUCGAACGAGCGGCGGACGGGUGAGUAAUGUCUGGGAAACUGCCUGAUGGAGGGGGAUCACUACUGGAAACGGUAGCUAAUACCGCAUACCAUCAGAUUUUCCCAGAUGGGAUUGGCUGGUAGGUGGGGUAACGGCUCACCUAGGCGACGAUCCCUAGCUGGUCUGAGAGGAUGGCCAGCACAACUGGAACUGAGACACGGUCCAGACUCCUACGGGAGGCAGCAGGGGGGAAUAUUGCACAAUGGGCGCAAGCCUGAUGCAGCCAUGCCGCGUGUGUGAAGAAGGCUUUCGGGUGGUAAAGCACUUUAAGCGGGGAGGCGGUACCCGCAGAAGAAGCACCGGCUAACUCCGUGCCAGCAGCCGCGGUAAUAC
rnacentral:rRNA from 1 species